rnacentral:rRNA from 1 species
CAAGUCGAACGGCAGCACGAGAGCUUGCUCUUGGUGGCGAGUGGCGAACGGGUGAGUAAUAUAUCGGAACGUAUCCAAUAAUGGGGGAUAACUAAUCGAAAGGUUAGCUAAUACCGCAUACGCCCUACGGGGGAAAGCAGGGGAUCUUCGGACCUUGCGUUAAUGGAGCGGCUGAUAUCUGAUUAGCUAGUAGGUGAGGUAAAGGCUCACCUAGGCUUCGAUCAGUAGCUGGUCUGAGAGGACGACCAGCCACACUGGAACUGAGACACGGUCCAGACUCCUACGGGAGGCAGCAGUGGGGAAUUUUGGACAAUGGGCGCAAGCCUGAUCCAGCCAUUCCGCGUGAGUGAAGAAGGCCUUCGGGUUGUAAAGCUCUUUCGCAAGGGAAGAAACGAUACCGACGAAUAAUCGGUGUUAAUGACGGUACCUUGAUAAGAAGCACCGGCUAACUACGUGCCAGCAGCCGCGGUAAUACGUAGGGUGCGAGCGUUAAUCGGAAUUACUGGGCGUAAAGCGUGCGCAGGCGGUUUUGUAAGUCAGAUGUGAAAUCCCCGGGCUCAACCUGGGAACUGCGUUUGAAACUACAAGGCUAGAGUAUGGUAGAGGGGGGUAGAAUUCCACGUGUAGCAGUGAAAUGCGUAGAGAUGUGGAGGAAUACCAAUGGCGAAGGCAGCCCCCUGGACUAAUACUGACGCUCAUGCACGAAAGCGUGGGGAGCAAACAGGAUUAGAUACCCUGGUAGUCCACGCCCUAAACGAUGUCUACUAGUUGUUGGGAGAGUAAAAUCUCUUAGUAACGCAGCUAACGCGUGAAGUAGACCGCCUGGGGAGUACGGUCGCAGAUUAAACUCAAGGAAUUGACGG